rnacentral:ncRNA from 1 species
AUCUAUCGAAGGAAUUGACCUUAAUUCAUAGAUGC